AGCAGCUCAGGAGUUCAGCUCAGGCUGUGCCGGCAGCCUGGGCUGGGCUGCACGGCUGCCAGCGAACCCCAGCGGCCAGCUCGAGCCCGUGUCGCGGGCCUGAGAUGCUGCCAAAGGCA